rnacentral:ncRNA from 1 species
CAUCAGAGAAGGAUAAGAAUAAGACCUGAAUUCUCAAUG